CCCAGUGACAUUGUUUAACGGCCGCGGUAUCCUAACCGUGCGAAGGUAGCGUAAUCACUUGUUCUUUAAAUGAGGACUAGUAUGAACGGCUUCACGAGAGCUAUGCUGUCUCCUUUACUCAAUCAGUUAAACUAAUCUUCCCGUGAAGAAGCGGGAAUACCUUUAUAAGACGAGAAGACCCUAUGGAGCUUUAGACACUUCUAAACACUUGACCCUCCUCAUCAAAAUUUUACAAAAACCUCUACUAAGCCUGUCACCUUGUUUAAAGUUUUAGGUUGGGGCGACCACGGAGAAAAACCUAACCUCCACGUAGAAAGAAACUUCUUUCCUAAGCAAAAAGCCACAUCUUUAUGCAUCAACACAUUGACUUAAAUUGACCCAAUUACUUGAUCAACGAACCAAGUUACCCUAGGGAUAACAGCGCAAUCCGCUUUAAGAGCUCCUAUCGACAAGCGGGCUUACGACCUCGAUGUUGGAUCA
rnacentral:rRNA from 1 species